UUGUAUGACGGUUUAACAAAAAUUUUGUUUAUAAAAAAAUAAUAUAAUUUUAAGUAGUGGUUAAAAUUCUACUGUGCUUUUGAGGGACGAUAAGACCCUAAAAGCUUUAUUUAUUAUUAUUUUUUGUUAUUUUUAUAACAUAAAGGAGUAAAAUAAUGUUUAGCUGGGGUAGUUAGAGUUUAUAAAUAGUUUUUAUAUAAAACAACGGGUAAUGAUCCUUGAAAUCAGGAGAAAAAGUGAAAGUUACUUUAGGGGUAACAGGGUAAUAGUUUUAGAUAGAACUUAUUGAUGAGAAUUGUUUGCUACCUCGAUGUUGAAUUAGAAUUUUUUUACUUUGUAGUAGUAGUUUUAAAUAGUUUGUUCAACUAUUAAAUUUUUACAUGAUUU
rnacentral:rRNA from 1 species